rnacentral:lncRNA from 1 species
UGGGACGACGACCUCAUACUCAAGGUCAUGAGGAAGGAAAAGAAGGGUCCAGGGGAGUACAACAAGCUGCGAGUAAGCAUUCAACACCCCACAUUUUUUUUUCGGUUUUUCACACACGAAACUUUUUAGGCAAGCAUACACUUAGCUCAACCAAAUCAUGCAUAAAUUUGUUGUCAGUGAAGCCACACACACAAAAGGCAGGCUACCAAAAGUAACUGAAUUGGCAAGUUCGACACCAGACAUAGGAUAGAUAUUCAUACUGGAUCAGGCAACACCACACACAUUUUUCAAGCAAUUCACACCAUUAGCACAAGCAAGUCACACAGCCUUUUUCAUAUCAACAUACAUGGUACAACCCACAAAAAUAUCCUAUAUCAAGUCGAAACUGAAAACGAUGUCAAGUCAAAAGCUCGGGGUUAUUGUGCACACUUGGAAGCUUCACCAGCCACCCCCGGUAAAGCUUUGCACAACCACAAAAAUGUAUCAAACUUGUUUAAUCUUGCCUUUCUUGCCAACAAGUUAUUUUUUGUCCUGAAACUUAUAUACAUUUUGCCUACAGCCCGGCAGGACUUUGCCUUGUAUGGCAUUUUGCCUGAAACUUGCACAAGAAGCUUCACAGGAAAACAGGCUUCCCAAGCCACUACCAGGUAAACUUUUGCUUCCCAGCCACCACCAUGUUGCCUACAUCUCAGCAUUUUGCAUGUUACCUGGUUAACGCAAGUGCGGGUCUACAUAGGGAUUCGGAUUGCAAUUGCCAACCGAUUGUUCCCACUAUUGUUGUUUGCAUUUGAAACAUGACCUCUUUGUUGAUUGUAAUGAAGUUGUCCAAAAAUAGAAUAGUUUAUUGCACACAUCCACCCAGGGAGGUGUAUGUCGCAUAUUUUUAAGGAACAAAUGUUUGGUCUAGAAAGUCAGGAGGCAUUUUUUGGACACAAGACUUUGCUUGGUGAUUGCACUCAAGUUGCCUCAAAGAACACAAGCAGUUGCUUGUCUUGUUUUUGGUCUAGACAAAUCAGAACCUAAAUUUUUGAGGAGGAAAUUGCAUGCAUGAAACUCAUAGCAACUUAGCAAGUUCAUAUUGCAUAAACACACACCACCACCAGUUUGUAUCAUACAAGUUCAAGAGGAAGUCAUGUUUUUUGUCUAGAUAGAAAAAGAGUUAGGAUGCAAAUUUUCUGUGCAUGGGACUUGCUUGUUGGUUGCACUGAUGUUCCUGAAAAGAACAACAGUAGUUGCUUUCCUUUGUAUCAUACAUAUUCAAGGGAACACAUAUUUUUGUCUAGGUAGCAAUAGAGUCGGGAUGCAAUUUUUUGUGCAGAGGGCUUGCUUGUUGGUUGCACUGGUGUUGCCUAAAAAGAAU